rnacentral:rRNA from 1 species
UACGGAGGGUGCAAGCGUUAUCCGGAAUCAUUGGGUUUAAAGGGUCCGCAGGCGGACAAGCAAGUCAGUGGUGAAAUCCCAUCGCUUAACGAUGGAACUGCCAUUGAAACUGUUUGUCUUGAAUUCGAUCGAAGUGGGCGGAAUGUGUCAUGUAGCGGUGAAAUGCAUAGAUAUGACACAGAACACCGAUAGCGAAGGCAGCUCACUAGGUCUGAAUUGACGCUCAGGGACGAAAGCGUGGGGAGCGAACAGG